ACAUUCGUAAAGUAGCAGCCGAAUUUUCAGAAACUAGAAUGACUCCUCCCACUCUCCCGGUAACGUCUCAAGCUUCCAUUAAUAUGUGUUUAAGAGCUUUAGUGUGAUUAUCCCACUCCUCCCACCUCUUCGCCUUCCACAGUAACCGUUUGAAGUUUGGAAUAUAAAUAUCCCAUCUUCCAACUAUGGACACCAUAACUCAAACAAGAUCCAAAAGAAUAGUUUGUUCUAACAACCGAUUCCAGAAAUAUCAACAAAGCCGGUGAAAUCUCAAGACAAGUAAGUCACAUACAACCCUAGCUUAAUAUGAAUGUUCUUGCGAAAUAACAAUAGCUAUCAUUCUAACCGUUACUACAUUCAUUACAGGAAUCAGCUAGAGAGACCAGUCCAAGUCUUAACGUUUUUGAAGACAGCUACGAUGGUCAUCAAGAGGUGGAGACCCGAUAGAUACUAUUUGGAUGCUGACAUUUGCAAACAACUUCGUUUGGUAGGCAAUUUUUUACAGACUCCGAGUUUUCUAAACACCUGAUAUAUUUAUGAAUUUCUUGAAAACAUUGGCUUUAUGUCUCCAAUGUCAACCACACAUAGAUCUUCAAGCGUUACACCACUUAUGAUGUACUGCAGAAUUGUUAUAGGUUCUUAAUAUGUUUCGCGCCUGUUACUGAGACAGAUAUUCUUAUUAGAGGAAUCUUAUACAAUAAAGGAGAGUUGUCUCUCUCCUCCUGCGUCCAUGUCAGCAUUCACAUAUGGGCGUUUGUUGCCACGUGGCAUACCCGUACACAAGUGAAUCCUGCGUUUUAUGUCCUUUGUUUGAACUGGGUUUUUGAUACAACUUACGGAUGGGCCUUUUAAAACAAAAUGGCAAGCCCAAUUAAGUUUUAGGUUUCCUCUGAAAAUCCUCUUCUUCUUCACGCCUCCGACAUUCGUAAAGUAGCAGCCGAAUUUUCAGAAACUAGAAUGACUCCUCCCACUCUCCCGGUAAUGUCUCAAGCUUCCAUUAAUAUGUGUUUAAGAGCUUUAGUGUGAUUAUCCCACUCCUCCCACCUCUUCGCCUUCCACAGUAACCGUUUGAAGUUUGGAAUAUAAAUAUCCCAUCUUCCAACUAUGGACACCAUAACUCAAACAAGAUCCAAAAGAAUAGUUUGUUCUAACAACCGAUUCCAGAAAUAUCAACAAAGCCGGUGAA
rnacentral:lncRNA from 1 species